rnacentral:rRNA from 1 species
UACGGAGGGGGCAAGCGUUGUUCGGAAUUACUGGGCGUAAAGCGUGCGCAGGCGGUGAUGUAAGACAGUUGUGAAAUCCCCGGGCUCAACCUGGGAAUUGCAUCUGUGACUGCAUCGCUAGAGUACGGUAGAGGGGGAUGGAAUUCCGCGUGUAGCAGUGAAAUGCGUAGAUAUGCGGAGGAACACCGAUGGCGAAGGCAAUCCCCUGGACCUGUACUGACGCUCAUGCACGAAAGCGUGGGGAGCAAACAGG